GGUAUACAGCAGCUUGUGUGGGAUGAACUCAUGACUCAUAAUCAGGUGGUCCCUGGUUCGAGUCCAGGUGGGACCA
rnacentral:tRNA from 1 species